ACGCUUUGGCAGCACAUACACUAAAAUUGGAAUGAUACAAAGAAGAUUAACAUUACCUCUGUGCAAGGAUAACAUGCAAAUUCGUGAAGCUUUCCAUAUUUUU